GGAGGAGAAGGAGGAGAAGGGGGAGGAGGAGGAGGAGGUGUUUGUGAUUUGUGUGUGUUUGUGGGAGAGGGAGAAAAGAAAAGCAGACAGGUUUUCACAGGUCUCAUCUUUCUUCCUCUUCUCCCCCUUUAGUUUCAGAUUCCCACACAGAAACAAGGAACUCCUCAACUCACUACCGGAGACCGAGGACGGCCCUGCAACACAGAUUUAUACUCUACUUUAGGUCACCAUUUGCGCCGCGCAGUCUUUCCUUCCCUCCGCUCCCGAUGGCCGGCUCCGUCCCACCACCCCAAGCGAGAGGCAUCAACCUGGACUUGCCGACCUGCGGAGAGACUAUGUGUAAUGGCCGUGGUGUCUGUGUGCCCCCUGCGGGCGGAGGCGUGGACCUUGUGUGCGACUGUCUUCUGGGCUACCGGGGAGUAGCAUGCGAGGAUACGGUCAACGGGGCGUUGAGCUUACCGCUCACGCUGAGCGUCCUAGGUGUCAUCAUCGGCCUGUUGAUCCUGGCCUUCGUCGCCGCCAAGGUGCGGCAGAAACAAAAGAAGAGGCAGAGGAAACAUCUGGCAGCAAAGGACGGCUACAACAUCGCUAUAUGACGUGGAUCCAUGUCAGCCCUGGUGAGGUCAGCUGUGACACUGUGGAAGCUCCUGAGCUUCUGUCAGCGUUCCUCUGCAGGGCUUACAGCACGUUAUUUUGUUAAGUAUUUAUCUACUUUUCUACCGUGUUGACUGACUUCCCAAUACCACUGAACGACAUGUGCUGCAUUGUCCCAGAUGCUCACUCUGUAAAAAGUGAAACCUGAACUUUGGGUAUGUUUGUUCCGUCUAAAUCGGGGCACAUCCAUGAUCACCAUCCUGUCUACGCUGUUCCACUCCCCAUGUUUGUUCACAUUUUUGACUGGACCGACUACAUUAUCACAUCCUUCGCAGUUUGAAUCCACACCAACACACGUCAGUAGCUGCCCGCUCUAAAAUCAGAUUCUUCCCUGAUCACAUGCAGAUGUUUCCAUGGACAGACUGUCCUCCUGCACCGGUUCCAUUCAGCGAAUGUAAAAUUGGAUCGACUUUAAAUGUUAACGCGGUGAGCCACAUCUGAGUCUGCCCCAAUCUUUCCGCUACAAAUGUCUUUAGAGAAUAAGCACUUUAGCCUAAAUGCUGUAGUUUACUGUCUUUAAUGUCAAAGCGAUAAAAGCAUGUAUGUCCUUGUUACAUAUCAAUGUCUCUUACGUUUACCUGCAUUUAUUGGGCAUUUAUUUUUCUCUAGAGUUCUACAUGAUCUCUCUGUUGCAGAACAGAAACACAUGUGAACGUCACUGGCAAUCGAGAUAAUUUAAUUUUAGGAAAUUGUCAUCUUGUUUUCGAUUUGGAUCUCAGUGAGUAGUCAAGUUACUCUAGGUAACAUAGCCAGUGUUAAGCACUUUUUGUGCUGUAUUGUCUGUUUCUUUUGUAAACGUCUGACUGAACUAUUUUUACAGACCUUCAACUCCUUCAUAUAUAUAUAUAUAUAUAUAUAUAUAUGUUUAUUUUAUUAUCCUUUUCUAUGAUUUCACGCAGUCAAUAAGCUUCAUGUAACUCCUGAACAUAGCUUUGCUGGUAUAAUAUUAUUGCACAAUGCGGUAAACAGGGAGAGUCUGGAGUGUAUAUUCAUUUCUUUGUGUAAAUAGAUAGUGAAAGUUGAUGAGUCAGGGUGACACAACACUUGGAGAAGACACUCAUGUGAUGGGUUUAGUAAAUAUCUGAAUCUCGGAGCUCUCAGAAAAUUAUAUUUCAGCUCUGCUGCGCGCACCGUUCACUCAUGUGUCUGCCUGUUACUUAAAAUCUACGGAGGCCUGAAGUUUCCAAGAAAACCAAACCAACACACGUACUGCUGUUUCUGUGUUGUUUUAAAAUUGUCUUCUUUGUUUUCUCGUUUACUGUUGUUAGACUUCUGUUAAAAUGCCCAGUAGCUGAACAUUUUCAGGGAGAUUUUAAGCCGCCUUCUGUCUCUGUGCUGUAACAGCUUUUUAGGAUGUCUGCUCUUUUACUCAGUUUACCUGACAUGCACACUUUUAAUUAUAUGUAUAUGCAGAAGACGACAACGUCUCACUGUGCUGUUUAUGUUCAAACUAUAUUUAAUAUGCUGUAAACUUUGUAUGUUUUUUUUAGCUUUCCAAUAAAAUGUCCUAAAACUUUAA